AGUGAACGCUGGCGGUAGGCCUAACACAUGCAAGUCGAACGGCAGCACAGUAAGAGCUUGCUCUUACGGGUGGCGAGUGGCGGACGGGUGAGGAAUACAUCGGAAUCUACUUUUUCGUGGGGGAUAACGUAGGGAAACUUACGCUAAUACCGCAUACGACCUACGGGUGAAAGCAGGGGAUCUUCGGACCUUGCGCGAUUGAAUGAGCCGAUGUCGGAUUAGCUAGUUGGCGGGGUAAAGGCCCACCAAGGCGACGAUCCGUAGCUGGUCUGAGAGGAUGAUCAGCCACACUGGAACUGAGACACGGUCCAGACUCCUAAGCGAGGAAGCAGUGGGGAAUAUUGGACAAUGGGCGCAAGCCUGAUCCCGCCAUACCGCGUGGGUGAAGAAGGCUUUCGGGUUGUAAAGCCCUUUUGUUGGGAAAGAAAAGCAGAAGGUUAAUACCCCGCUGUUCUGACGGUACCCAAAGAAUAAGCACCGGCUAACUUCGUG
rnacentral:rRNA from 1 species